AACGAACGCUGGCGGCAGGCUUAACACAUGCAAGUCGAACGGAUCCUUCGGGAUUAGUGGCAGACGGGUGAGUAACGCGUGGGAACGUACCCUUUGCUACGGAAUAACUCAGGGAAACUUGAGCUAAUACCGUAUGUGCCCUACGGGGGAAAGAUUUAUCGGCAAAGGAUCGGCCCGCGUUGGAUUAGCUAGUUGGUGGGGUAAUGGCCUACCAAGGCGACGAUCCAUAGCUGGUCUGAGAGGAUGAUCAGCCACACUGGGACUGAGACACGGCCCAGACUCCUACGGGAGGCAGCAGUGGGGAAUAUUGGACAAUGGGCGCAAGCCUGAUCCAGCCAUGCCGCGUGAGUGAUGAAGGUCUUAGGAUUGUAAAGCUCUUUCACCGGUGAAGAUAAUGACGGUAGCCGGAGAAGAAGCCCCAGCUAACUUCGUG
rnacentral:rRNA from 1 species